AACCUCCGCAAUGUGAGAAAUCGCGACGGGGGGAUCCCAAGUGCCAUUCUUAACGGGAUGGCUUUUCUUAAGUGUAAAAAGCUUUUGGAAUAAGAGCUGGGCAAGACCGGUGCCAGCCGCCGCGGUAACACCGGCAGCUCUAGUGGUAGCAGUUUUUAUUGGGCCUAAAGCGUCCGUAGCCGGUUUAAUAAGUCUCUGGUGAAAUCCUGUAGCUUAACUGUGGGAAUUGCUGGAGAUACUAUUAGACUUGAGACCGGGAGAGGUUAGAGGUACUCCCAGGGUAGAGGUGAAAUUCUGUAAUCCUGGGAGGACCGCCUGUUGCGAAGGCGUCUAACUGGAACGGUUCUGACGGUGAGGGACGAAAGUUAGGGGCGCGAACCGGAUUAGAUACCCGGGUAGUCCUAACUGUAAACGAUGCGGACUUGGUGUUGGGGUGGCUUUGAGCUGCUUCAGUGCCGAAGGGAAGCUGUUAAGUCCGCCGCCUGGGAAGUACGGUCGCAAGACUGAAACUUAAAGGAAUU
rnacentral:rRNA from 1 species